rnacentral:rRNA from 1 species
GACGAGCGCUGGCGGCGUGCUUAACACAUGCAAGUCGAACGAAAAGAGGGAAAGAGCUUGCUCUUUCCGGAAUUGAGUGGCAAACGGGUGAGUAACACGUAAACAACCUGCCUUCAGGAUGGGGACAACAGACGGAAACGACUGCUAAUACCGAAUAAGUUCCAAGGGCCGCAUGGCCCAUGGAAGAAAAGGUGGCCUCUACCUGUAAGCUAUCGCCUGAAGAGGGGUUUGCGUCUGAUUAGCUGGUUGGAGGGGUAACGGCCCACCAAGGCGACGAUCAGUAGCCGGUCUGAGAGGAGGAACGGCCACACUGGAACGGAGACACGGUCCAGACUCCUACGGGAGGCAGCAGUGGGGAAUCUUCCGCAAUGGGCGAAAGCCUGACGGAGCAACGCCGCGUGAGUGAUGACGGCCUUCGGGUUGUAAAACUCUGUGAUCCGGGACGAAAAGGCAGAGUGCGAAGAACAAACUGCAUUGACGGUACCGGAAAAGCAAGCCACGGCUAACUACGUG